UACAGAGGGUGCAAGCGUUGUUCGGAAUUAUUGGGCGUAAAGCGCGUGUAGGCGGCUUUGCAAGUCGGGUGUGAAAGCCCUCGGCUCAACCGAGGAAGUGCGCCCGAAACUGCAGAGCUUGAGUACCGGAGAGGAUGGCGGAAUUCCCCAAGUAGAGGUGAAAUUCGUAGAUAUGGGGAGGAACACCGGUGGCGAAGGCGGCCAUCUGGACGGGUACUGACGCUGAGACGCGAAAGCGUGGGUAGCAAACAGG
rnacentral:rRNA from 1 species